rnacentral:lncRNA from 1 species
AAAUGUCACUUUAUUUUUCUACCUUGAGAGCUUCCACGCAUAAAUUGGCUUAUGAUUUCAUCUUGAGAUUCUAAAUCCAAUAACAUCUGAAAUGUAGAUAAAUUCACCGAGAAUCUUUUACCAACCAUUUCAUCAAUAAGUCGUAUAGCAGUUGAUGAGUCCUGAUUUUGAAGAAAUCCUUGAAUCAUAACAUUAUAUGAGCAACUGUUUGGCAAGAAGCCAUCAUCUUCCAUUUUUCUAAAUAAAUCGUAUGCUUCAUCUGACAGCCCUUCUUUCAGCAGUCCCUUGAUCAUGACAGUGUAUGUCCGUAUAUCAGGCCGUGUUCCAUCCCCAAAAAGCUUAGAAAAUAGUUCCUUCGCAACUUCAAGCUUCCCAGCGAUAAACAUGCCUUCAAUAAGGAUAGUAUAAUGGACAAUAUUAGGUUCUAGUUUCUUCUCUUUCAUUGACUUGAGCAGUUUUAAUGCCUCAUCCAAAUGCCCAUGCUUGCAGAAGCCAUCUAGUAAAAUCACAUAAGUCACCAAAUUUGGAUGCGGGCCAUAAGAACACAUCUCCUUGAAAAGAUUGAGAGCUUCCUUAGGUCUUCCUAAUUGGCACAGACCUUGCAUAAGAGUGCUGUAGGUGACAGUAUCAGGAUUCAAUGCUUUAUGAUACAUUUCAGCAAGGAGUGAUUUUGCCUCAUCCAUCCUUCUACUUUUGCAAUAUCCAUUGAUCAAGAUGUUGUAACUAUGUGCACCAGGUGCACAACCCUUGCGAAUCAUGAUUUCAAACACCUUCUUGGCCUCAUUCAUUAGGCGCUGCAAACAGUACCCAUCCAUCAAAGCAUUGUAAGUGGAAAUAUCUGGCUCUACACCUUUUUCAGUCAUUGUUUCAAAGACAAGCCGAGCUUCUGAAACCAUUCCUUCUUUGCACAGCCCAUCAACCAAAAUAGUGAGGGUCACUGUAUCUGGCAUAACAUCCCUGCCAACCAUUUCUUUGAACAAUCUAGUAGCUUCAUUCAGUUGUCCUAAAAUGCAAAAACCAUGGACCAUGCAGUUGUAAGUAAAAACAUUUGGUGGAAUGCCCCGAUCCAGCAUUUCAGAUAAGAAUUCCAUGGCGUCAUUUACUAGCCUAUCUUUGCAAAGGUUGUCUAUGAUUGUAUUAUAUGUCACCACAUCUGGCUUGCACCCAUUUGGUUCCAUCUUCUUGAACACGUGAACAGCCACAUUUCUGUUGCCAGAUUUGAACAAACCUUUGAUUAUAGUAUUAUAGCUAAUCACAUUAGGCUCAUGCCCUCUCCGUAACAUCUCAUUAAACAAUCCUCCUGCCUCUUUAAUCUUUCCCUCAUUGCAGAGACCAUUAAUGAGUGCAUUGAAUGUGCUAGCAGUGGGAUGAAUACCCAGUUUGAACAUUUUACCCAAGAUAGAGACAGCAAAAUCAACAUGGUUCAAGCGACAAAGGCAGUUAAUCAAUACAUUUAGAGAAUAAACAUUGUGGGUAACACCGAACAAAUCCAUUUGAUUGCACAAAGAGACAACAGUUGAAUACUGUUUCUUUUUAGCGAAGGACCCUAGGAAUUUGCCAAAUUCCGCAACAGAUGGCCUAGGAUUCAUGCGGACCAUGCGAUAGAAUGAAGCCAAAGCAUCAUCAAUACUGAUGUUAGUGCUAUUAUUACUAACAAACCCACCAUUGUUUUGAGGCAAAGAAGGUUUCCUAGUACAAGCAGAAGUGGAGAUGUGGUGAUGAUUGAAGAAUAAGAAAGAAGAAGGAAAGAUACCCAUUUCCAUAUGUUGUUGAAGAAUCCGAAAAUCAGAAGCAGUAGCUCUAUAAGCGCUUUUCCGCGUGAACAUCAUCAUUGUUAGGUUAAAAAGCUGCGUUGUCUCUGACUGUUCCUCACCUCCUUCAAAGCCGAAGAUGAAAGCUUUUCCAAUCUACUCUCUGUCUCUUUCUUAAGCUAUACACUUGUUGCUUUGACUUUCUAUCAUUUCCCCUUGAACAAAUCAUAUUGCAAAACAAAUUUGGAGUCCUUAAAUUGUUAUCAUAUAUAUUAAAAGAGUUUUUUUUAAUUGUAAUAAUAUUUAUUUUUAAAGUAUAUUUUAUUUAAAAAUAUAUUAAAAUAAUUUUUUUAUAUUUUAUAAAAUUUAUUUUUUACUUCACUUGAUUAAAACGAUAUAAAAUUAUUUAAAAAAAUUAAAAUAAAAAAAAUAAGAAUCAAUUUAAAAAAAUACUUUUAAAACACAAAAACAGAAUGUUUUUAAAUAAGUAAUCUAUAUAUGGAAAGUUUUAUGUUGUGGUUUUAGUAAUUUUUGAUAUUUUAUUUGUUAUGUUUUGUGGUUUGUUUUGAUAAAAAAAAUUGGAUAUAAGAAAAAUAAAGAAAAUAAAAUCUAUGAUCCACAUAAAAUAAUAAGAAUAUUUUCACUUGUGAAUUAUCUCUUAUACUUGUAUCUUUUUUUUUAAAGUAGAUUCAGAGUAAUUAAUAAAUAAAUACUAGUUAGUCUCCGAGCACAAUAAAUUUUAUUAUGUAUGUAAUGUUUUAUAUGAACAAUGUUAUUUUUUUUAUUUUGAUUAUUGAACUUUUUUAAUUGUAAUUUCAUCCUCUAAAAUUAAAUUAGCAAAUUUUUAUAUGUUCAGAUUUCUUUUGAUUUGUAUUUUUAUAUAUAUACAAAAUGUAUAAGGAUAUUAUGGUAAUGAAUUAACACAAAUUAUAUUGAUCUCUUUUAAGCAUUAUUAAACUAAAAAAAAACAUAGAAAAAUAUCAAUCAUUAUAUAAAAAUAAAUGGAACAUUAAUUAAUAUUUAAAUAAAAAUAAUUAACAUAAAAGAAAAAAAAAAGAUCAGAUGACAAUGACCUUAGUCUUUCAUAAAAAAGCCUACCCCAGCGUGACUAAUAUUUUAUUUUUUUAUCUUAUUUUUGGAGCAAAUAUAAUAUUGUUUACUCUAGUUAUUUUUUAUUGUAACAAACAACAAGUCAUCUGUUAUGAUAGGUGAUUGUCAGCUACUAAAUUGUUUUUUGAUCACCUCCUAUGAUAAAAAAAUCAGUGUUUAAGUAUUUGGAUUCUAAAAAUUCAUUUUUCUAUUUGUUUUUACCUGAAAACAUCUAAAACAAUCUCACAUGAAAUGCAAUAAACUCGUUCCUAGCUCCAAAACACACUCUAAUCACUUUAAAAAAAUAAUUAAAUGAAAAAAAAAAUAAUGAACCGGAUCAAUUUUUUUCCGGCAUGGUUAUAGAAAAAAUCACCUUCAUUGAACUUUUCUCAAAAAGACGAACCUAUUGAUACAAAUAUCAAUAUUUUUUAUAGUUGGAAUAUGAUCAUCUGAGUAUUUUCUCUCUUUUUAAAAUUUUUGGAUUGAUUUUCUCUCUCCUUUCUUAAUAUAUAGGUAGUGUUUGAUUAUUUUUUCAAGGCAGAAGAGACAUAGGAAAAGAAGAAAGAAAAGAAGACGAAGAGAGAAUUGUGUUUGACAAUGAUGUAAGACAAACCGAUUAUAUUUAUAUUAUGUUUGGUUAUGGUGCACACGAUAUAAGAAAAUAUGAAAAAAUCUAUUUUAUUCUUAAUGUGUAUUGUUGUUAAAUUUACAUAUUUUAAAAAAUAUUUAGAUUUUUUUUUAAUUUAGUUUAUAUUAAGUGAUGAAAUUAAUAAUGUUAUAAUAACUUUAGUUACAAAACUAGGACUAAUCUAACAGGUUGACCCGAAAUCAGGUCAACCUGGGAUCUAGACUGUCUGAGUUUAAGAAGAAAUAGAUAAAAGAUUGACUCAACCUAACCUGAUAAAAAACUCAUGUCAACCCGAGAUAGAACAUGAGUCAAAAACUCGUUGAAUUUUUUGAAAAUUAUUUUUGGUCGAAAGAAGGUUGCUUAGAUUAUUUUUUUAAAAAAAUUGGGUUAAAUGAGUUAACUAUCCCGACUCGUGACCUGAAUCUUAUCUUGAAUUAAGUUUUAAGAUUAUAAUAAUUAUUAUUUUUAUUUAUAUAGUGACUCGGACCAACCCAUGAUAAACAACUGAUUCAUGACUUGGGCCUCACCCUGGUCAAUCAUGAGUCUUUUUCCACUCAACCCCGUGACUCUUCCUCAACUCUGGGUGUCUUGAGUCCAGCUUUGCCUGAACCAUUUAUGAAAGGAACCCAAUGGGCAAUGGACCGUUUUUCUUUUUAUUUGAAGCCCAGGACUAUAUACCCUUGUUGACUUUCACUCGCUUUCUUGUUCAAUAUGACCACGAGUCAAGGGGAAAGAGGGAGUCUGGGGUAUAAAUAGUGUUCAUUGAACAACAUGGAUAAAUGGAGUGUGUUGGUGAAACACAAUGAUAUAAUUAAACUUUCCAUUGGCAGAAUAUCUGCUUGUAAAUUAUGAAAUCUAAUAAUAGGAUUGGUGGCAAUGCAGGAUAAACAGCUCUGGAUCAGCAGCAGAUUGAACUUCUUGGUUUCGUGCUUGUCUUUGGAGAGGGGGGACGGGAUGGCAGAAGAAUAAAAAACCACACCCAUCCCUGGUUCCCCAUGGAGAAAUGAAGUUUCUGAUGAUGGAUUGAGCUCGUACAUACGUUUUCCAAUACCCUGCAGUUGCAUUGAUAGAAAAGUUAGUUGAUCACUGCUGGUUUCCCGAUCUGAAGUUCCAAGAUGUUAAUUGUUCGAGAAGCCAGCUUGUAGAUCAUCAUGAUCUUAUUUAAGCAAUUAAGUGGCUUGUAGAUCAUCAUGAUCUUAUUUAAAUAUUUUUUUAGAUAUCCAUAGAAGAUAGCUUUGAAUAGUUGGUAAAAAAAUCGGGUUAAUAAGAUGUUAGUGAUAAGUAGUUCAAGUUAAGCAUGAAAGUCAGAAAAAAUAUUUAUCCAAUUGUUAAAAAAAUUAUUUUGUAUAAUGAUAUUUAAAAAUAAGAAUUUUGGUAUCUUUAUUGAGUUAUUAAAAUUGUCAAAAUUACAUUAGUCAUUGACUUAAAUUUCUUUUUCUUGCUCAUGAAUGGAUGAUUCUAAAUUUGAAAAUUUAACUUCUCAAUUAUUCGAUCCUAUCUUUUAAUAUCAGUGAUGUAACAACAAUUUUCUAACAAUCCAGUGCCAAAAACAGAUCCCAGGAAGCCACCCUUGAUGUUGCAGAUCAUUCAUUAAAGUUAAAGAACAGAGUAUCGUUAUAACUCACAAGAGGCUCAUCAGCCUACAACGUCACUUGAUAGGAAAAUGUCACUUUAUUUUUCUACCUGGGGAGCUUCCACGCAUAAAUUGGCUUAUGAUUUCAUCUUGAGAUUCUAAAUCCAGUAACAUCUGAACUGUAGACGAAUCCGCCGAGAAUCUUUUACCAACCAUUUCAUCAAUAAGUCGUAUAGCACUUGAUGAGUCCUGAUUUUGAAGAAAUCCUUGAAUGAUAACAUUAUAUGAGCAACUGUUUGGCAAGAAGCCAUCAUCUUCCAUUUUUCUAAAUAAAUCGUAUGCUUCAUCUGACAGCCCUUCUUUCAGCAGUCCCUUGAUCAUGACAGUGUAUGUCCGUAUAUCAGGUCGUAUUCCAUCCCCAAAAAGCUUGGAAAAUAAUUCCUUCGCAACUUCAAGCUUCCCAGCGAUAAACAUGCCUUCAAUAAGGAUAGUAUAAUGGACAAUAUUAGGUUCUAGAUUCUUCUCUUGCAUUGACUUGAGCAGUUUUAAUGCCUCAUCCAAAUGCCCAUGUUUGCAGAAGCCAUCUAGUAAAAUCGAGUAAGUCACCAAAUUUGGAAGCAGGCCAUAAGAACACAUCUCCUUGAAAAUAUUUAGAGCGUCCUUAGGUCUCCCAAAUUGGCACAGACCUUGCAUAAGAGUGCUGUAGGUGACAGUAUCAGGAUUCAAUGCUUUAUGAUACAUUUCAGCAAGCAGUGAUUUUGCCUCGUCCAUCCUUCUACUUUUACAAAAUCCAUUGAUCAAGAUGUUGUAACUAUGUGCACCACGUGCACAACCCUUGCGAAUCAUAAUUUCAAACACCUCCUUGGCCUCAUUCAUUUGGCGCUGUAAACAGUACCCAUCCAUCAAAGCAUUGUAAGUGGAAAUAUUUGGCUCUACACCUUUUUCAGUCAUUGUUUCAAAGACAUGCCGAGCUUCUGAAACCAUUCCUUCUUUGCACAGCCCAUCAACCAAAAUAGUGAAGGUCACUGUAUUUGGCAUAACAUCCCUACCAACCAUUUCUUUGAACAGUCUAGUAGCUUCAUUCAGUUGUCCUAAAUUGCAAAAACCAUGGACUAUGGAGUUGUAAGUAAAAACAUUUGGUGGAAUGCCCCGAUCCAGCAUUUCAGAUAAGAAUUCCAUGGCGUCAUUUACUAGCCUAUCUUUGCAAAGGUUGUCUAUGAUUGUAUUAUAUGUCACCACAUCUGGCUUGCACCCAUUUUGUUCCAUCUUCUUGAACACGUCAACAGCCAUAUUUCUGUUGCCAGAUUUGAACAAACCUUUGAUUAUAGUAUUAUAGCUAAUCACAUUAGGCUCAUGCCCUCUCCGUACCAUCUCAUUAAACAAUCCUACUGCCUCUUUAAUCUUUCCCUCAUUGCAGAGACCAUUAAUGAGUGCAUUGAAUGUGCUAGCAGUGGGAUGAAUACCCAGUUUGAACAUUUUACCCAAGACAGAGACAGAAAAAUCAACAUGGUUCAAGCGACAAAGGCAGUUAAUCAAUAUAUUUAGAGAAUAAACAUUGUGGGUAACACCGAACAAAUCCAUUUGAUUGCACAAAGAGACAACAGUAGAGUACUGUUUUUUUUUGGCAAAGGAGCCUACGACUUUAACAUAUUCCGCAACAGAAGGCCUAGGAUUCAUGCGGACCAUGCGAUAGAAUGAAGCCAAAGCAUCAUCAAUACUGAUGUUAGUGCUAUUAUUACUAACAAACCCACCAUUGUUUUGAGGCAAAGAAGGUUUCCUAGUACAAGCAGAAGUGGAGAUGUGGUGAUGAUUGAAGAAUAAGAAAGAAGAAGGAAAGAAACCCAUUUCCAUAUGUUGUUGAAGAAUCCGAAAAUCAGAAGCAGUAGCUCUAUAAGCGCUUUUCCGCGUGAACAUCAUCAUUGUUAGGUUAAAAAGCUGCGUUAUCUCUGACUGUUCCUCACCUCCUUCAAAGCCGAUGAUGAAAGCUUUUCCAAUCUACUCUGUGUCUUUCUUAAGCUAUACACUUGUUGCUUUGACUUUCCAUCAUUUCCCCUUGAACAAAACAUAUUGCAAAAAAAUUCUGAGUCCUUAAAUCGUUAUCAUAUAUAUUAAUUUUUUUUUUAAUUAUAAUAAUGUUUAUUUUUUAAAGAAUUUUUUAUUUAAAAAUAUAUUAAAAUAUUAUUUUUAUUUUUAAAUUUUUUUUAAACUUACGAUAUAAAAUUAUUUAAAAAAAUUAAUUUAAAAUUAAAAAAAUUAAAAAUCAAUAUUUUAAAAAAACAAUUUGAAACACAAACCGUUUCUAAAAAAAUGAUCUACGCAUAGAAAAUUUUAUGUUGUGGUUUAUUUGUUAUAUUUUUGUGGUUUAUUUUGAAAAAACAAAUAUAGGUAUAAGAAAAAUAAAAAAAAAAAUUUAUGAUCCACCAAAAACAAUAAAAUAUAUUCUCACUCAUAAUUUAUCUCUUAUACUUGUAUCUUUUUAUUUCUUUUAAGUAGAUUUGAGAGAGUAAUUAAUAAAUACAUACUAAUUACUUUCCACAUUAACAAUGUUAUUUUUUUUUAUUUUGAUUAUCAAACUUUUUUAAUUGCAAUUUCAUCCUCUAAAAUUACAUUACCAGGUUUUUAUAUGUUGAGAUUUCUUUUGAUUUGUAUUUUUUUAUAUAAACAAAAUGUCUAAGGAUAUUCUGAUAAUGAAUUAACACAAAUUAUAUUAAUCUUUUUUAAGCAUUAUAAAACUAAAAAAAAACAUAGAAAAAUAUCAAUCAUUAUUUAAAAAUAAAUGGGACAUUAAUUAAUAUUUAAAUAAAAAUAAUUAAUAUGAAAGAAAAAAAAAGAUUAGACGACGAUGACCUUGGCCUUUCAUAAAAAAGCCUACCCCAGCCUGCCUGGUAGUUUAUUGUUUUUAUCUUAUUUUUGGAGAAAACGUAAUAUUGUAUGCUCUAGUUAUUUUUUUAUUGUAAUAAACAACAAAUCAUCUACUAUGAUAGGUGAUUGUCAACUAUUAAAUAGUUUUUUGAUUACCUCCUAUGAAAAGAAAAUCAGUGUUUAAGUAUUUGGAUUCUAAAAAUUCAUUUUUCUAUUCGUUUUUACCUGAAAACAUCUAAAACAAUCUCACAUGAAAUGCAUUAAACUCGUUCCUAGCUCCAAAACACCCUCUAAUUACUCUAAAAAAAUAAUUAAAUGAAGAAAAAAAUAAUGAACCUUGAUCAACUUUUUUUCGGCAUGGUUAUAGCAAAAAUCACAUUCAUUGAACUUUUUUCAAGAAGACGAAUCUAUUGACACAAAAAUCAAUAUUUUUUGUAGUUGGAAUAUGAUCAUAUGAGUAUUUUCUCUCUUUAAAUUUUUAUCUCUCUCCUAUCUUAACAUAUAGGUAGUGUUUGAUUAUUUUUCCAGGAUAGAAGAGACAUAGGAAAAGAAGAAAGAAAAAAGGACAAAGCGAAUUGUGUUUGACAGUGAUGUACAAGAUAAACCGACUAUAUUUAUAUCAUGUUUGGUUAUGGUGCGCACAAUAUAAUAAAAUAUAAAAAAUUUAUUUUAUUCUUAAUAUGUAUUGUUGUCAAAUUUACAUAUUUUAAAAAAUAAUUAAAUUUUUUUUUACUUUAGUUUAUAUUAAGUGAUGAAAUUGAUAAUAUUAUAAUAAUUCUAGUUACAAAACUAGAACUAAUCUAACAGGUUGACCCGAAAUCACGUCAACCCGAGGUCUAAACUAUCUGAGUUUAAGAAGAAAUAUAUAAAAGAUUGACUCGACCUAACCUGAUCAAAAACUCAGGUCAACCCGAGAUAUAACAUAGGUCAAAAACUUGUUGAAUUUUUUAAAAAUUAUUUUUUAUCGGAACAAGAUUGCUUUGAUUAUUUUUAAAAAAAGAUUGGGUUAACCGAGUUAACCUUCCCAACCUGUAAUCUAAACUUUGCCUUGAGUUAAGUUUUAAAAUUAUGAUAAUAAUUAUUUUUAUUUAUGUAGUAACUCGAAUCAACCCACGAUAACCAUCCGUCCCAUAACUUGGACCUUACCCUGCUCAAUCAUGAGUUGACUUUUAAAACUAUUAUUGUAAUAAUAAUAAUAAUUUUUUUUUUCCUUAUUGCACCUCCAGCUAAGUCUUAAUUGGCCCCGCCUUAUUUGCAAUGCCUUGCUAUUAACACAUGAUGUAUGAUGAGGUAGGUUAGGUGCUAGAUAAGCAUUCCCACCAUCAUGCUUGAGAAACAGUAUAACAUGAUCAAUACCAGAAACAGGCAUCUUGUAUCAGGGUUUGGCUCUUGCUUUCGUUACUUUUUUGAAUCAUUCCUAUGUUAGGAUUAGUUGAGGUCACAAUGUUAGGUGCAAAUUCAAAACUUGGAAUACCUAUUUUAAGAUUAGAAAAUUCAUCAAAUAAUGGAAAACAAGACUGGUUAUUGUAUGCAUUGAAGUUAAAGAUCUUUGUAUUGUGAUAACUCACAAGAGGUACAGCAGCCUGCAAUGUCACUUGAUAGGAAAAUGUCACUUCAUUUUUCUACCUCGAGAGCUUCCACGCAUAAAUCGGCUUAUGAUUUCAUCGUGGGAUUCCAGAUCCAGUAACAUCUGAAAUGUAGUUGAAUCCGCUGAGAAUCCUUUACCAACCAUUUCAUCAAUAAGUCGUACAGCAGUUGAUGAGUCCCGAAUUUGAAGAAACCCUUGAAUGAUAACAUUAUAAGAGCAACUGUCCGGCAUGAAGCCAUCAUCUUCCAUUUUUCUAAAUAAUCUGUAUGCUUCAUCUGAUAGCCCUUCUUUAAGAAGACCCUUGAUCAUGACACUGUAUGUAUGUACAGUAGGUCGUAUUCCAUCGACAAAAAGCUUCGAAAAUAGUUCCUUUGCAACUUCAAGCUUCCCAGCGAUAAACAUGCCUUCAAUAAGAAUGGUAUAAAAGACGAUAUCAGGUUCUAAUUUCUUCUCUUGCAUUGACUUGAGCAGUUUUAAUGCCUCAUCCAAAUGUCCAUGUUUCCAGAAGCCAUCUAGCAAAAUCGAGUACGUCACCAAAUUUGGAAGCAGGCCAGUAGAACACAUCUCCUUGAAAAGAUUUAGAGCUUCCUGAGGUCUCCCUACUUGGCACAGGCCUUGCAUAAGAGUGCUGUAAGUGACAGUAUCAGGAGUCAAUUCUUUUUCAGACAUUUCAGCAAGGAGUGACUUUGCCUCGUCCAUCAUUCUACUCUGGCAAUAUCCAUUGAUCAAGAUGUUGUAACUAUGUACAACAGGUACACAACCCUUGCGAACCAUGAUUUCAAAAACCUUCUUGGCCUCAUUCAUUUGGUGUUGUAAACAGUACCCAUCCAUCAAAGCAUUGUAAGUGUAAAUAUUUGGCUCUACACCUUUUUCAGUCAUUGUUUCAAAGACACACCGAGCUUCUGAAACCAUUCCUUCUUUGCACAGCCCAUCAACCAAAAUAGUGAAGGUCACUGUAUCUGGCAUAACAUCCCUGCCAACCAUUUCUUUGAACAAUCUAGUAGCUUCAUUCAGUUGUCCUAAAUUGCAAAAACCAUGGACUAUGGAGUUGUAAGUAACAACAUUUGGUGGAAUGCCCCGAUCCAACAUUUCAGAUAAGAAUUCCAUGGCGUCAUUUACUAGCCUAUUUUUGCAAAGGUUGUCUAUGAUUGUAUUAUAUGUCACAACAUUUGGCUUGCACCCAUUUUGUUCCAUCUUCUUGAACACGUCAACAGCCAUACUUGUGUUGCCGGUUUUGCACAAACCAUUGAUUACAGUAGUAUAGCUAAUUACAUUGGGCUCAUGCCCUCUCUUUACCAUCUCAUUAAACAACUCUACUGCUUCUUUAAUCUUUCCCUCAUUGCAGAGCCCAUUAAUGAGUGCAUUGAAAGUGAUAGCAUCGGGAUGAAUACCAAGUUUGAACAUCUUGCCCAAGACAGAGACAGAAAAAUCAACAUGGUUCAAGCGACAAAGGCAGUUAAUCAAUAUAUUUAGAGAAUAAACAUUGUGGGUGACUCGAAACAAAUCCAUUUGAUUGCACAAAGAGACAACAGUAGAGUACUGUUUUUUUUUGGCAAAGGAGCCUAAGAAUUUGCCAAACUCCACAGCAGAAGGUCUAGGAUUGAUGCGGACCAUGCGAUAGAAUGAAGCCAAGGCAUCAUCAACACAAACGUUAUUGCUAUUAUUACUAACAAACCCAUCAUUGUUUUUAGGCAAAGAAGGUUUCUUUGUAGAAGUAGAAGUAAGAAAGUGGUGAUGAUUGAAGAAUAAGAAACAAGGGAAAUCAGGAAGAAAAGGAGAGAUACCCAUUUCCAUUUGUUGUUGUUGAAGCUGAAAAGCAGAAGCAGAAGCUCUAAAAGCGCUUUUCCGCAUGAACACCGUCAUUGUUAGGUUAAAAAGAUGCUGUCUCUCUGACUGUUCCUCUCCACCUUCGAAGCCGAAGAUAAAGGCUUUUCCACUCAACCCCGUGACUCGUCCUCAAUUCUGGGUGUCUUGUCUUCCGCUUCGCCUGAACCGUUUAUGAAAGGAACCCAAUGGGCAAUGGACCGUUCUACUCUUAACUAAUCUUCUAAAAAUACUCGAAUUAUUUUAAAAAAUUAAAAAUAUUCUUAAAUUAACAAACAUUUCAACAUUAAACCCUUUAAAAAAAAAAAAAACAAUCAUAUAAAUGCGUAGCCUUUGUAUUCGAUUAAGUCACGUUUAGUAUUUCAUUCCAUAUCAGAUUGGAAUUGGACAAAUUAAUUAUAUAAUAUAAAUUAAUUUUUUUAUACUUUUUUAUAUUUUAAUGUAUUAAUAUUAAGAAUAAUUUUUAAAAAUUUAAAAAAUAUUAUUUGAAUAUAUUUACCAUAAAAACAAUAUUUUAAAAAAUAACUACUGUCAAACUGUUAAUCACUUUUAAAUAAAAUAUAGUUAAUAAUUAAUUUAUCUUUAUUAUGAAUAGAAACGUUUUGAAAAUUAAUUUUUUUUAAAUAAAUUAUUUAAAAUUAUUUUUAUAUGUUUUUGAAUUAUUUUAAUGUGUUGAUAUUAAAAAUAAUUUUAAAAAAUUAAAAAAAAUAUUAUUUUAAUAUAUUAAAAAAAAACUGUUUGCGUAACCGUUUUUACUUCUCAAAGCCUGGGGUAAAUAUCUGUCCAAUUGCUUCAAGUACAGAAACAUUCCAUAGCAAACUGUCAAAAUGUAUAUAUAUGGAUCAAUGCUGUGUUUUUUUAAAAUAUUUUGGGCUUGUGAAAAUAUUAAUUAAUUAAUUUAUUUUUAUUGUUUUUUAAUAUUUUUAAUAAAUUGAUAUUGAAAAUUAAAAAAAAACUGAAAAAAAAUUAUUUUUAUAUAAAAAACUAUUUUAGAAAGUAAUUUGCACUGCAAUCUCAAGUACUUGAAAAAAUGCUGCCGUGGAAUGUGUAACUGGGAAAUAUUUUGUAAGAAACAAGAAGUUCCAAAUCCAUGGAGCAGGGCCAGCCUAAUCAGAAAAUAAAACGCCCAAAAGCCCUUAAAAUCCUAAGAACGGGAGAUCAAUAUUCUUCUAGUCUUUGGAUUUGAAGAAAAAAAGAAACAACUUUACUCUGUUCUUGCACCGAAACCCUCAGCUAACAGAAUUUCCUUAAAAGUAAACACUGAAACACCUCAGAAAGAACAUGAAAUUUACAGACACAUUUCAAAGUAGCAUGUUGGGUUUGGGAAAUCGAUAAAAGAACAUGACAUUCUAUGUAGAGCAGAAGUUAUGAAAUAAACUUUAAAAUCAAGGGAAAAUAGUUUUAUCCAGUCAGUUCUCAAUCAUCACUCCACAUUUCCCAAACUAUGCUCUGUUUAUAUAAUAAGCUGGGAUGACGAUAUAGCUAUAUGAUGCCUAAAAUAGUGCUGCUCCCUGUCAAAUACAUCAGGGAUUGGCUCAAAUAAUGCCAGCUGCUUUAAAGCUGAAACUCUAUGCGAAUAAGCAGUUUUAAUUUUUCUGUGAUACCAACUUUAAGUUUUUGAAGAAUGGUUACCUUCUCAAUGUUCUGCAAUCCAAUUGAUGAGAAUCAAAGAAGGGAACCAGCAACUUCAAAUUGAGGGAAUACAACUAUUUAUCAGAUUUCACGGUUUAAGUUUUAGGAUUAAGAUAAUAUUUAACUCAAGAUUAAAGAUAUAAUCUUCUUUGAAGGCUCGAAAGCUGCUGCAUACAAUUUGGCAUUAAUCAAAGGAACGACAAGAUGUUCUAAUGGCAAGAAUCCUUCUUAAAUCUCCUCACCUCAUUUUCUGCAGAAUUGCAGUUUAAUCCUGAUCGAGCAAAUGAAUAAUGUACCUGGUCAAUACUGUACAAACACUUCAUUUAGCCAAGAAGAAUAGAACAACAGCAAAGCUUAAAGGAGUUGAGCAAGCCUUGUUACACGAUGGGUGGAGAGACAAGUCUCCUUGUACAGCAACAAGAAGAAUUAAUUGAGACUGAGAAAUGAGAAGCAGCACGCAGGACUUUUUGCGAGUGUAUACCAUAAAGACAAGCAGCCAUCCACUUAAAACAACCUGUCUGCAGACUCUGGAAAUCAAAACCUGAAUCAAACAAUUCGAGUACCAUGCAAAUGACCACUUGAAAUGCAUAAAACAACCUCAGCUUGUGCUACUGCUUCUGUAGAGUCCUCUUUCCAAGAAAACCGUUAAAACUGUAGAUUUUCAUGAUGAUGGCAACCGAGGUAUCCUCCACCAUUUCCGCAUGUGUUCUAAAAUUGUAGAUUCUCGGGAUAGAUUAGACUCUACCAACCAGUUCUCUCUACAGAUAGACUGCCAGCCUUGUCAACAGCACAUUCAGAUCAGCUCCAAGAGAACCUGCUGUAACUUGGAUAAAAGAAUAAGAUGAAGAGAACCCUCGAGUUCACUUUUUUGAAUCAUUCCUUUGCUAGGAUUAGUAGAGGUCACAAUGUUAGUAGCAAAUUCAAAACUUGAAAUGCCUAUUUCAAGUUACAAAAUUCAUCGCAUAAAGGAAAACAAGACUGGUUACUGUACACUCUGUACUUUAUACACAGAUUCAAGUCAAUGCACAAUGCAAGGUGAGCUCUAGUGCCAAAAACAGAUCCCUAGAAGUCACCCUGGAUGUUACAAACAAUUCAAUAGAGUUAAGGAACUGAGUACUGUGAUACCUAACAAGUGGUUAAGCAGCCUACAACGUCACUUGAUAGGGAAAUGUCACUUCAUUUUUCUAUCGACAGCUUCCACGCAUAAAUCGACUUAUGAUUUUAUCAUGAGAUUCCAGAUCCAGUAACAUCUGAAAUGUAGACGAAUCUGCCGAGAAUCUCCUACCAACCAUUUCAUCAAUAAGUCGUAUAGCAGUUGAUGAGUCCUGAUUUUGAAGAAAUCCUUGAAUGAUAACAUUAUAUGAGCAACUGUCCGGCAAGAAGCCAUCAUCUUCCAUUUUUCUAAAUAAAUCGUAUGCUUCAUCUGACAGCCCUUCUUUCAGCAGUCCCUUGAUCAUGACAGUGUAUGUCCGUAUAGUAGGCCGUAUUCCAUC